CUUCACCGAGCCCAGCCACAGCGGUGCGUCCUCGGGCCGGUCCUGCCCGUAGGUGGCGAGCAGGGCCUGUGCUUC
rfam:Streptomyces pratensis ATCC 33331, complete genome.